rnacentral:rRNA from 1 species
GCUGGUCUGAGAGGAUGAUCAGCCACACUGGGACUGAGACACGGCCCAGACUCCUACGGGAGGCAGCAGUGGGGAAUAUUGGACAAUGGGCGAAAGCCUGAUCCAGCAAUGCCGCGUGUGUGAAGAAGGCCUGCGGGUUGUAAAGCACUUACAGUGGGGAAGAAAAGCCUGAGGUUAAUACCCUUGGGUCUUGACGUUACCUACAGAAGAAGCACCGGCUAACUCCGUGCCAGCAGCCGCGGUAAUACGGAGGGUGCGAGCGUUAAUCGGAAUUACUGGGCGUAAAGCGCGCGUAGGCGGUUUGUUAAGUCGGAUGUGAAAGCCCCGGGCUCAACCUGGGAAUUGCAUUCGAUACUGGCCGACUAGAGUACGAGAGAGGGAGGUAGAAUUCCACGUGUAGCGGUGAAAUGCGUAGAUAUGUGGAGGAAUACCGGUGGCGAAGGCGGCCUCCUGGCUCGAUACUGACGCUGAGGUGCGAAAGCGUGGGUAGCAAACAGGAUUAGAUACCCUGGUAGUCCACGCCGUAAACGAUGUCUACUAGCCGUUGGGAGACUUGAUUUCUUAGUGGCGCAGCUAACGCACUAAGUAGACCGCCUGGGGAGUACGGCCGCAAGGUUAAAACUCAAAUGAAUUGACGGGGGCCCGCACAAGCGGUGGAGCAUGUGGUUUAAUUCGAUGCAACGCGAAGAACCUUACCAGGUCUUGACAUCCUCGGAACUUUCCAGAGAUGGAUUGGUGCCUUCGGGAACCGAGAGACAGGUGCUGCAUGGCUGUCGUCAGCUCGUGUCGUGAGAUGUUGGGUUAAGUCCCGUAACGAGCGCAACCCUUGUCCUUAGUUGCCAGCGCGUAAUGGCGGGAACUCUAAGGAGACUGCCGGUGACAAACCGGAGGAAGGUGGGGACGACGUCAAGUCAUCAUGGCCCUUACGACCUGGGCUACACACGUGCUACAAUGGAACGCACAGAGGGUUGCAACCUCGCGAGAGUGAGCCAAUCCCACAAAACGUUUCGUAGUCCGGAUCGGAGUCUGCAACUCGACUCCGUGAAGUCGGAAUCGCUAGUAAUCGCGGAUCAGAAUGCCGCGGUGAAUACGUUCCCGGGCCUUGUACACACCGCCCGUCACACCAUGGGAGUGGGUUGCUCCAGAAGUGGUUAGCCUAACCUUCGGGGGGGCGAUCACCACGGAGUGAUUCAUGACUGGGGUGAAGUCG